AUUGCCCUAGUAACGGCGAGUGAAGCGGCAACAGCUCAAAUUUGAAAUCUGGCUUCGGCCCGAGUUGUAAUUUGUAGAGGAAGCUUUAGGCGCGGCACCUUCUGAGUCCCCUGGAACGGGGCGCCAAAGAGGGUGAGAGCCCCGUAUAGUUGGAUGCCUAGCCUGUGUAAAGCUCCUUCGACGAGUCGAGUAGUUUGGGAAUGCUGCUCAAAAUGGGAGGUAAAUUUCUUCUAAAGCUAAAUACCGGCCAGAGACCGAUAGCGCACAAGUAGAGUGAUCGAAAGAUGAAAAGCACUUUGAAAAGAGGGUUAAAUAGCACGUGAAAUUGUUGAAAGGGAAGCGCUUGUGACCAGACUUGCGCCGGGCGGAUCAUCCGGUGUUCUCACCGGUGCACUCCGCCCGGCUCAGGCCAGCAUCGGUUCUCGUGGGGGGAUAAAGGCCCUGGGAACGUAGCUCCUCCGGGAGUGUUAUAGCCCAGGGUGUAAUGCCCUCGCGGGGACCGAGGUUCGCGCAUCUGCAAGGAUGCUGGCGUAAUGGUCAUCAGCGACCCGUCUUGAAACACGGACCAAGGAGUCAAGGUUUUGCGCGAGUGUUUGGGUGUAAAACCCGCACGCGUAAUGAAAGUGAACGUAGGUGAGAGCUUCGGCGCAUCAUCGACCGAUCCUGAUGUAUUCGGAUGGAUUUGAGUAAGAGCGUUAAGCCUUGGACCCGAAAGAUGGUGAACUAUGCUUGGAUAGGGUGAAGCCAGAGGAAACUCUGGUGGAGGCUCGCAGCGGUUCUGACGUGCAAAUCGAUCGUCAAAUCUGAGCAUGGGGGCGAAAGACUAAUCGAACCAUCUAGUAGCUGGUUACCGCCGAAG
rnacentral:rRNA from 1 species